rnacentral:lncRNA from 1 species
UACUAUUAUUAGGACGAUAGAUAUAUCAAAUGUAAGUCAUUGUAUGCCAUAUAGGUUGGUUGUCCUCUUAAUCAAGGAGCAUGGAGAUGCUGGUAUAGCAUGUAGGUAAAAUAUAGGAGUACAUUUCACUGAAUGUGACUAACUCUGGAGUACUCUGCUAUCAAGAGUCACUCUGAAGGGAUAUGGGUAUAAGUAUCCCUC